rnacentral:lncRNA from 1 species
GGAAUUACAAGACCAGGAUAGGUCGUCCCGGAAUUACAAGACCAGGAUAGGUCAUCCCGGAAUUACAAGACCAGGAUCCCCAAGAUCUCCUGGCAAAAGAAAACCUCCCUCAGACAUAGAGACCUCAGUAAAGAAGAAGACCGGGAUCCCGUAGAACUCCCGGAAAAACAAAAUAAAGGAUAGCCGGUGAGGCCCCAAGGUCACCCCGGCACAGCCAGGAUCUCGUAAGACCUCCUGAAGGUAAGAAUAGUUGGUGAAGGACUUCAGGGCCCACCAAAAAAAAAAAAAAAGAUGUCGAGCUCCCAGCUCGGACCGAUAAACCCAAGACCGAGCUCCUAGCUCGGAUAGAUUCAUUUCUUCAAAAGAUCAAGAUACGAAAGCCAAAAACAAAGGCCGAGCUCCCUCCAUAGACGAACUCAUAAAUCCUUAGGAGGAUACUAAGGCUAUAAUCAAAAGCCUAAAUCAGUUUAUUUAAAAUAAAUAUACAAAGUCACAACGAAGAAAGAAGGACUAGAAGUCAAAAACUAGCAUGACAGUUGCCAUCAAAUGGGUACGAGAUUUGAUCUCUCAGACGACAGUUAAGAGCUGAACUCACAACUUAAGAUUAAUUUAGAGCUUCUGAAUAAACAUAUGAAGUCUACAUUACACAUACGAAGAGUAAAGAUACAUGUCAAAGAAUAUGAAAAACAAAAAGGAAACUAAUAUUCCAUUAAUAACUAUUACAAUUUAUUUCUCCGGUGAGGAAGGAGGAUGAAUAGUCCUUAAAGGACUUACAUCAAUAAACCCACCCUCACUAUUUCUAUUUACAGCCACCCCUAAAGGAAGCUCGGUGUCCUUCGGACCAGAGCUCUCAAUAGUAGGGGCAAUUUCUGACCCAGGGUGAAGGCCUUCUUUCACAGAAUCAGGAUCGUCCUCCUCCGACCCUAGCUCGGAUCCCUCUGAAGAAGACUCAGCUGGCCGAUCUCGGUUCCUCCGGCAAUCUCCUCGGGGCAAAGGGAAAUCAUCCUCCCCGUAUAGCACUGACUCGCCAUCUGAGUCCACUUCGCGCCUACGAAGCUUGGCCAAAGGAAGAUCAGGAGCCUGUCUAGCUUCUCUUAAACCGCGAUUGUAGCCAGUUACAUACAUGCGGUAGGCCUUAUCAAAGAUAGCCUGUUUCAUUUCACUAGAAGCUUUAUACUCAUCAAGAUGUUCUUCACAAGCCUCGGCUACAAAUUCCUCAAACUCAGAAGAAUCUUUGUAGUCCUGAAGAUGAGCUUNNN